rnacentral:rRNA from 1 species
AUUGAACGCUGGCGGCAGGCCUAACACAUGCAAGUCGAGCGGAGCGGCGGACGGGUGAGUAAUGCCUAGGAAUCUGCCCGGUAGUGGGGGAUAACUUCCGGAAACCGGCGCUAAUACCGCAUACUAUCAGAUGAGCCUAGGUCGGAUUAGCUAGUUGGUGGGGUAAUGGCCUACCAAGGCGACGAUCCGUAGCUGGUUUGAGAGGACGAUCAGACACACUGGAACUGAGACACGGUCCAGACUCCUACGGGAGGCAGCAGUGGGGAAUAUUGGACAAUGGGCGAAAGCCUGAUCCAGCCAUGCCGCGUGUGUGAAGAAGGUCUUCGGAUUGUAAAGCACUUUAAGUAGGGAGGCGUUACCAGCAGAAUAAGCACCGGCUAACUGCGUGCCAGCAGCCGCGGUAAUUC